UAGGGAAUAUUGCGCAAUGGAGGAAACUCUGACGCAGCGACGCCGCGUGGGUGAUGAAGGCCUUCGGGUUGUAAAGCCCUGUCAGCUGGGGCUAAAGCAUACGUGCUCAUACCACGUGUGUUUGAAUGUACCAGCAAAGGAAGCACCGGCUAACUCUGUGCCAGCAGCCGCGGUAAUACAGAGGGUGCAAGCGUUGUUCGGAAUUACUGGGCGUAAAGGGCGCGUAGGCGGUUCAGCAAGUCAGAUGUGAAAGCCCGAAGCUUAACUUCGGAAGUGCAUUUGAAACUGCUAGACUAGAGUAAAGCAGGGGUUGGCGGAAUACCCAGUGUAGAGGUGAAAUUCGUAGAUAUUGGGUAGAACACCGGUGGCGAAGGCGGCCAACUGGACUUUAACUGACGCUGAGGCGCGAAGGCGUGGGGAGCAAACAGG
rnacentral:rRNA from 1 species